ACAUGUAUGAACAUUUUGAAAGGAAAUGGAGUUUUAGUUUGAGGAAAAGAAGAGCUUAAGAAAUGGCUUGAAGUCUUCAAUUGUAUGAAAGAACUUCUUGAGAAGGAUGUAAACUGGUUGUUCUCUAGAAUUAUGAUUAAAUAAGAAUGGGCUUGUGGGGGACUGGUCUUGGCCAUGCCAAGAUAUGUCUCUUUGGCAUGAGGAUUAUAGGGCUGGUUGCUUUUGAUAAACUGGGACAGGGAAGGAGGCUCUGAGGGGUGGAACUUGCUUGCCCUUUGUUAGGAUACAUUUACAUUUGUAAGGUAAAUCUCCAUCUGUAAAGGUGCCUCCCUCUCUGUACCAGGAAGAAGAAAGGGGAUGACCUUCUCUCUAGAAACUCUUAAUCAAUGGGAAAGGCAAGGACUUAAAUCUGCAUAAUAAUUUUAUUCCUGUUUCUAGUAACCUCCUGUAACUGACUCCCCUCACCCCCAACAUCCUCCUUUGUCUUUAGCUGGAUAUGAUAUUUAAGUGGGGACUUCAGCCAUUUUGGUGAGUUGCUCAGCUUGCCUGACCUCUCCCAUGUAUACAUGUUAUAAAGCUUUGUUUAAUUUUCUCCUGCUAUUCUGUCUCAUGUGAAUUUAAUUUGUUCUCCGGCCAGACGAACCCAGAGAAGGUAGAGGAAAUGUCUUCCUCUCCUACAGUUUGGCGACUUGGAUGGGAUAAAAUUUCACUGGCUGGACACUGCUUGCUCCUGGACUACUGUGGCCGAGAGAUCCCAGACCCCUGACGAGAGCCGGCAAGAGGCUGCUUCUGUUACCUGACUUGUGAGCGUCUGAGGUGGUGGCUCUGGGGAAUUGAGGCCAACGCCCUUUCUGCAGAAGUUCCUGCCUCUGUAAGGGUAGAGACUAAAUACAUUUCUCUGACUUUGCCCGUUGUUCUGUGGCUUGCAUUCGCUCUUCCUCCUUUGGCAGCCUGCUUAGUCUCCUUUGGAUCUAGCCUAGGCUGCCUCUGGCAAGGGUGAAAGGAUUCCUCGAGGUCAAGCAUAGCUUAUUGAGUGACCCAUAUUCGCAUUUGAAUUCUUUAAUGAUAAAUGCUAGCCAUUCACUAGUGUUUGUUCUUUGUGCACAGAUAGCUCUCAAAGACCUCAGAGAGAGGAUCAGGUCUGAAUUCUGUGGUCAAAUGUCUUCCUAAUGUCUAACUUCCCAAGAGAGACACCAACCAGCCAGUGAGAUCAGGGGAAUUAAC
rnacentral:lncRNA from 1 species